UACGGACUGUGCAACCGUUAUUCGGAAUCACUGGGCUUAAAGAGUCCGUAGGCGGCUUGUUAGGUGAGGUGGGAAAUCCCCCGGCUCAACCGAGGAAUUGCGCUUCAUACCGGCGUGCUAGAGGAAGAUAGAGGUGGGCGGAACUGAUGGUGGAGCGGUGAAAUGCGUUGAUAUCAUCAGGAACACCGGAGGCGAAGGCGGCCCACUGGGUCUUUUCUGACGCUGAGGGACGAAAGCUAGGGGAGCGAACGGG
rnacentral:rRNA from 1 species